UAGUACUAUUACUCUCUCCAUCCCCAAAAGAUAGAUAAAUUUAUAUGAUACGAAUUUAAGGGAGAAAUUAAUAAAGUAAGAAAGAGAUGUGAUAGAUAAAUUUAUAUGAUACGAAUUUUAAGGGAGAAAUUAAUAAAGUAAGAAAGAGAUGUGAAAUGUGGUGAGAUUGAGGACGGGCAUGGUGAAUAUUCGGAAAUAUGAGACUUCGCGGUGAAUUAUUGGGAAGUCUCCUUCAGCGGACAGUCGUCUGCUUAGGAUUUACGAGAUCCAUGCCUUCUUUGACUGUCUGCCAGAGGAGAUUUGCUCACUAAUUGUCCUACAAAACUAUUUACGGUCAUCAGUCUUUUCUUCAGCUAAUCAAGUAGCAGUUUGAGGCGUGUCUUGGAGUUCCAGUUAGCAAUGUUUUACAGAUUUGGUGGGGUUUUAAGGGUGGUGUUUAAGGGUUAACCGUCACGGUCAGGAAUAAUUGCAAGCUCAGGUCCUUCUCUGCUUGAUACCAAGCUCACUGUGAUUGGACGAUUACUUAGGUGGUUAAUUGUUCAUGUCAGGGACUCCAGAUUGUGCCACCUUUUCAGGUGGUUGAUCAUACAUGUGAAGGGCUUCAAAUUGUGCCAGCAUUUCAGGUUUUUUCUUAUUUGCAUGAUACUUUAAUGACACCACUUUAUUGUUUCAAAUAUUUACUGUGGGACUGUUUAGAAGGACUCAACUGAUCGUUGAGAGACAUAUUAGGACUGGUUUUUUAGUGACCCCUAGUGAUUCCAUUGACUGAUAGAGAAUAAACUGUAGAGGAAAUUGACAAUGUUUUCCGACAAUCAAUAUGUAGAAACUCUUGAAGAAUUGUGAUGAUACAAUAUAACAUAGUGAGUGCCGAAUUGUGAUGACAUCGUUUAACUAGUAGCCAAGUUGCUCCAUCAAGCAACCAGAGUUGUAGGACUGUAAGAACUUGAAAAAGCUAGCUUCCUUAUUGGUCAGGCUUUCUGGAUGGUGGGCAGUCACCAAAGCAUCUGUCAACUUAAGUUGAAGAGUAGAACUAAAAAUAGUUAAUCACCAUUCACACGCUCCAAUUGAAGGAAACCGCUGGUUUAGCGGUGCUGCAUUGUGGGAUUGAAUGGCAGGGCAAUUCUCCUUUGGCAAAGAAACAAGAAUGCAUGUGCAUGUUCUUCCUGCCCAAGGAGGAUCGCCCUGUUAUUCGCCCCACAUCAUUAUUAUCUUUCUAAGAGUCGAUCCAAAUAUAAGUCAUGAGAGUUGAUGUCCAGCCUUUAUAUAGGACCUAACUAAGCACCUUCAGUGGCAUAUGCUUAUGUUGAACUUGGAUGAGGACAUAGCAUAUGCUUCCAGUCGAUUCCGAUCCUUUUUGGUUUUCACCCUUUGCUUUUCUUUGGGGUCAUGGUAAUUACAAAAAAAGUUCUCACCUUCACUCUCCUUUUUUUUCUCCCAUGGAUAUGCUCUUUUACAUUGAGCUUAUUUUGCCAUGUCUUAAGGAAUCAGAUCCUUUGGUUUUUUGCUUUCUUACAUAUAAGGAAUCAGACCCUCUUCGAUUUCCUUAAUAAGUAACAUGAAGUUUGGGACUUCAUGAAUAAGUUCCCUUUCAUCCUUAACAUCAGUAGGGCUAGGGCAUUUACUUUGAGGAUUAACCUAAAUAGACUUAAAGGGAUUAGAGCUUUGGGAUAUUUCAAGUUCCUUGAUAAUAGUUUCCAUUUGGGCUAAUUUUGGGUUGAACCAUAUCCCUUUGAAAUGGUGGAAUUUGAGAAAUCAUGUAACGUAAAUAUCAAUGAUUCAAUCAUGAAAAGUAAACUUGUCUCCUUGCAUUAUUAUUUUAGUAUGUAUAUACGGAUGGCUUAUGGUGUUUAUUAUAGACAUAAUCGUGUGAAGAUGACAUUAUAAAUUCCAAUAGUCGACAUGAGUCAAAUUGGAAUCAAGCAUCAAAUCACAUCCGAUUCACAUAAACUAAAGUAUGCUAAAUUAAAUUGUAACCGCACGUAGAAAAGAUUAAGACUGUCUUGUACUAUGUUAUAUGCAAUGAACAUAAAAAAAAAAACUCUUUGCUAUCUCCAUGUGUAGAAACGAAUAGUUUAUUCCUGAGGAGUAAGAAUAUGCUUGAAAUAUAGGUUUGGAAAGACCGUGUAUUUAGGUACAACUAUAAAUAUACAGGAAAUGGCUCUCGACUCUUCAUCAGGAAACGGAGCCUUGUGAAAUUAGGGAUGCAUUACUGGGUAAUUACUCCUUUGGCAGUAGGCGGAUAAUGCUAACGCAGCACUUACCACACUGCCAAAGGAGAUUUGCCCCGCGAUACAUCCUUGAAUUAAUUCUUUUGCGUCUUGCAAGAUGUGCUGACAAAUGAUCGUAUCAGUGAUGUCGAGUCAAUAUACUGUAUCGUUUAUUUUAGAACCAUAGGUAAUCUUGUUUCUUUUCUUUCCUUGUACCCGGAGUUCCUCCCAGUUAGUUUAUUUUCAACAUGACUUUUUAAAAAUGUUUUAGGUGGCUUUGAGGAAUGCCAUUCGUCCCAAUCGAAAACUAUAUCUCAAAACAUAACUAGACAGGGAGUAUUAAUUAAGCCUUUUUAUACAUUCAUGGUCUUUUUUUUUUUUUUUCGAGUUAAUUUAGACAGCUUCAAGCGAUAUUCUUAUUUUUCUUUUUGGCGGAAACUAUUAUAUUUCGUUUUCGAUAGGUUGUUAUACUAUAAGAAAAUGAUGAUUGGUGGUAUUUGUUAGUAAAUUAUUCUCAUAUAAUGGAAAUUUUCUUUUCCCAUGUUCACUUAAAUAAAUAGACCAUUCAUGCAUGCAUGAUGCAUGUAUAUUUAAUAAUAGUACUAUUCAUUUCCAUCAAGAAGCCACUACUAAUAUUAACGACCAAGUAUAACUUUAUACGCUAAUAAUUAGUUAUUUUCUGCAUGUGCACAUACGAUACUUUAAUUCGAGUUGCUUAAAAUAUACGUAUUUUUUUAUCGUGCUAAUUAAAGUUCUAUAUGAGCAAGACCUCGGGAGUAGAACUACAAUAAAAAAGAUCUUUAUUAAUCAAUAAAUAUAAAAAUAAUUAAUAACUGUGUAAUAAUUUUGUAUGAAUGUAUACAUUUGUAUUUCUUAUGUUAUGUUUAUGUAUUAACUUACUAAUUUUGAUCAUGCUUGCAAUUUAAUAAACGAUUCCGCAGUCCCUUCAAAGUUAACCUUUAUCUUUCUUAUUUUAAUAAAUACGUCAUUUUGAACAUUAUCAAAAGACGAUAUUUUGUAUAUAGAUGAGACAAAUGAGAAAAGUUGAAAUUUUAUGAUUUAAUAUUCAGAUCUCAAACUUUGUAGGGCUAACUAGAAUUUGACAAAAGUUCAUGAUUUAAAUAACUAUUAAACCUAUACAAUAUGCCGAUCAUGUUAGUUCAUUCAUUAAAAUAAUAACUAAGAACCAUAUCAGUUAGUUGAUUUAUUAAUAUGUGAUAUCACAAAGUAUAUAAUGCAGAAUUGGUAGAAACGUAUGAGAAUGAUUAACUGAUACUCCCUCCGUCCCGCACUACUCGCACGUAUUUCCUUUUUGGGCGUCCCAAGUUACUUGCACUCUUUCCAUUUUUAGUAAAA